GAAGGAAGGAAGGAAAGAAGGAAGGAAGGAAAGAAAGAAGGAAAGAAGGAAGGAAGAAAAAGAGGGAGGAAGGAAGGAAGGAAGCAAGGAAAAAGAAGGAAUAAACAACAAAACAGGCCUUUGUCACAGGCCAGGUCAGAGACUUUGGUACCCACAGCCUAACUAUUCAUGGUAUUUUCUAUUACAAAGCUGCACUGUCAUUUCUGAGGCUGUACUCAUUUAGAUGCCAACAUGUUCACAAGUUACGCUCCAGGGCCAAAGGCACUCCAAACAUUAAAGAGACCAGUAGAAUCUUAAAAUGUUGGCUGCCUUAAUGAGUUUUCAGGUUUUCUCUCUGGGAAAGUAACAGGCAAAACUGCUGUAAUUCUUUCCAAGCAAUAUGGUACCUAGGACAUAGAGAUGCCAGUAGUCUCCUUAGCAACCAGGAGUUGCUAGAAGAUGAAAUCCUGAUCUUUAUUCAUGCAGCAGAUCACAUGGGGUCAGGUACUAUUUAUCGCUCCAGCAGAAACCACAAGUCACUGGGAUUUUAAUUGCAUCCUUAAGAUCAGUAAGAAAAGAAGUAAAUGGGAGAAAUGAGAAGAGUUACUAAUGAGCAUGUAGUGAACAUAAAACAUUCAGUUAGCUUCUUUGAAGCAUGUGCUUUUGUUAAGUGUGCUUCAGAAGCCAUUGCUUACACAGACACACACGCGCGCGUGCACACACACACACACACACAGGCUUUAGGGCUUCAAACACUGCCUUCUCUUCAUUAAAAUUCUAAACUCACAAACCGAGCUCAUUAUGUGAAUGUUUAGUUUGGGAGGAUUUUCCAGCUACAUACCACUUGACCAUUAUAUGUUUGCCUCAUCUAGCAUUGCUUUUAACAAACUUGCCUCCCAAAAGACCAUAAUAUUGAGCAAUCCUGGAGCCGAACUGCAGCUAAAGGAUACAAAUCAAUGUUAUCCCUUUUCAUUAAAAUAGCCUUGUUGAGGUAGCAGGUGGUGACUGGUCAUAAAACCAACUGCUGAGUCCUUGACAGAUGGGGUCUAAAUUACAUUUUUCGUUGUCUUUCUGAGUUCAAUUCCAUGUAUUUAUUUAACAAAUAUUUAUUGCUGUGUUCUUGAUAUUAAUAUGUAUCAGGCACUCAUUAAGACUUAAAAGUACUAUACACAAUGGCAUAAUUAGCUUACCAAAAUUUCUCCCACCAACAAAUAAACGAGCCCUAUUGAUUAAUCACGUUUAUGUAAAUUUACAGGACUAGAGAGGUUACAGCAGAAUAGCACCCUGUUUCUCAUAUCCAUAAAAGGAGUAAUAGUAUUUUCAAGAGUCCCAGAGAGAGCGAUUUUAUAAAGUUGACAAAGUAUCUUGUCUUACAAAUCAAUUUUUCCCUUCAUCCUUUGAAAGGAGCCGCUUUUGAAAUCUGACCUCGGAGGGAAAGGAAAUGACAUUUAAAAAUAAUAGCUGUAGCUUUUUCUUUACUGGCUGCUAAAUGAAGGAGCCAGACCAAAGGCAGGCAGCCUAAGGCACCAAGGACCACUGAACAGGAAUAGGAGGUUAGUCCUAAUGGUACUAUACUUCUCUCUUUCCUCUUAUUUUCUUUUCCUUUUAUAUAUUCUUUUAUUUACUUCCCCCAUUUUCUUUUCUCCUGCCCAACUUCCUAUUAAUGGAAUUUAAAAGAUAAAAAUCCUUCUAGCUCCAUGGCCAGUGGCAAAUAUCAUUUUAGACAACCUCUGUCACCUUUUCUAGCAUGCCCUAUGGGUUAUUGUUACAGAUGCAACGUGGGAAGACACAAUAGUGGGUGCUUGACAUGCUGUCAGAAUCUCACUGUUUCCAAAACACUGUGAAAUUUCCCAGGGAUUUGUGGAGCAAUUUUGAAAGUCAAGUCAGAGAACCUUGGAAUUCGUAUGCAGGCAAUUUGUACCAAGUUGUCAGCACCAGCAGUGGAUGUUUUAAUGUAUGUGCACAUAAUUCUCCCAUUUUAGCUGGAGGAUGCAAAGACCAGGAGGCUGAAUCCAUCUACAGGCCUGAUUGAGGUGGGAGGAGCCGUCUCAGGGAGGCUCACUCGGGCUGCUGGCUACUUGGUGUCGCUGCACCUGAGCCUCUUUAUGCAGAAGCAUGUCGACCCGGGACACGUUCACCAGGCUGCUGGAGCGUCAACAUGGCGCUUAGCGUCCCCCGGAAUGAGGUUGCUGACCGAGACAAACGCAGACCUCUCCCCUUUUUCCUGAACCUGCCGACAAGGCAGGCCCUCCAACGUGAUCCUUCGACUUCCUAUUCUUUGCCUCAUAUUUGAUUAGGUAAAAUUAGAACUGCUUUGUUCCUUUGUAAGCAGCUCACCAGAAAAAAACUUUUCCUCUUUGGAUAACUGAGGCUUCUGCUGGCAAAUAAACCACACCCAGACUGUAAA